UUAAGACUUGUAGUGAUGUUUAGGGAAAUUAUCACAUGAACAUCACUUUAAGUCUCUGCU
ensembl:miRNA